AAUGAACGUUGGCGGCGUGGAUUAGGCAUGCAAGUCGCGCGAGAAAUGUAGCAAUACGUGGAAAGCGGCGAAAGGGAUAGUAACACGUAGGUACCUACCCCCGGGCCUGGGAUAGCGGCGGGAAACUGCCAUUAAUACCAGAUAACGUCUCCGGACCAAAGGUGUGAUUCCGUCUGGGGAGGGGCCUGCGUCCUAUCAGCUAGUUGAUGAGGUAACGGCCCACCAAGGCAAUGACGGGUAGCGGGUGUGAGAGCACGACCCGCAUCACUGGGACUGAGACACUGCCCAGACACCUACGGGUGGCUGCAGUCGAGAAUCUUCCGCAAUGGGCGCAAGCCUGACGGAGCGACGCCGCGUGCGGGAUGAAGGCCUUCGGGUUGUAAACCGCUGUCAGUGGGGAGGAAAUGCACGGGGGUUCUCCCUCGUGUUUGACCGAUCCGCAGAGGAAGCACAGGCUAAGUUCGUGCCAGCAGCCGCAGUAACAC
rnacentral:rRNA from 1 species